rnacentral:rRNA from 1 species
GAUGGACCCGCGUCGCAUUAGCUGUUUGGUGAGGUAACGGCUCACCAAGGCAACUAUUCGUAGCCGACCUGAGAGGGUGAUCGGCCACACUGGGACUGAGACACGGCCCAGACUCCUACGGGAGGCAGCAGUAGGGAAUCUUCCGCAAUGGACGAAAGUCUGACGGAGCAACGCCACGUGAGUGAUGAAGGCUUUCGGGUCGUAAAACUCUAUUGUUGGGGAAGAACAAGUGCUAGUUGAAUAAGCUGGCACCUUGACGGUACCUAACCAGAAAGCCACGGCUAACUACGUGCCAGCAGCCGCGGUAAUACGUAGGUGGCAAGCGUUAUCCGGAAUUAUUGGGCGUAAAGCGCGCGCAAGUGGUCUCUUAACUCCCAUGUGGAAGGCCCCCCGCUCAACCGUGGA